UACGUAGGGUCCGAGCGUUGUCCGGAGUUACUGGGCGUAAAAGCGCGCGCAGGCGGCUUCAUAAGUCUGGCGUGAAAGCCCCCCGGCUCAACCGGGGGAGGGUCGUCGGAGACUGUGGAGCUUGAGGGCGGUAGGGGCUGGUGGAAUUCCCGGUGUAGUGGUGAAAUGCGUAGAGAUCGGGAGGAACACCCGUGGCGAAAGCAGGCUUCUGGGGCCGUCACUGACGCUGAGCUGCGAAAGCUAGGGGAGCAAACAGG
rnacentral:rRNA from 1 species